rnacentral:tRNA from 1 species
GUAAUAAUAGGGUAUCUAAUCCUAGUUUUUAUACUCAAAUUUCUGAGCCUCAUUAUUAUU